rnacentral:rRNA from 1 species
GAUGAACGCUGGCGGCGUGCCUAAUACAUGCAAGUCGAGCGAACAGACGAGGAGCUUGCUCCUCUGACGUUAGCGGCGGACGGGUGAGUAACACGUGGAUAACCUACCUAUAAGACUGGGAUAACUUCGGGAAACCGGAGCUAAUACCGGAUAAUAUAUUGAACCGCAUGGUUCAAUAGUGAAAGACGGUUUUGCUGUCACUUAUAGAUGGAUCCGCGCCGCAUUAGCUAGUUGGUAAGGUAACGGCUUACCAAGGCAACGAUGCGUAGCCGACCUGAGAGGGUGAUAGGCCACACUGGAACUGAGACACGGUCCAGACUCCUACGGGAGGCAGCAGUAGGGAACCUUCCGCAAUGGGCGAAAGCCUGACGGAGCAACGCCGCGUGAGUGAUGAAGGUCUUCGGAUCGUAAAACUCUGUUAUUAGGGAAGAACAAAUGUGUAAGUAACUAUGCACGUCUUGACGGUACCUAAUCAGAAAGCCACGGCUAACUACGUG